GAUGAACGCUGGCGGCGUGCCUAAUACAUGCAAGUCGAGCGAACGGACGAGAAGCUUGCUUUUCUGAUGUUAGCGGCGGACGGGUGAGUAACACGUGGAUAACCUACCUAUAAGACUGGGAUAACUUCGGGAAACCGGAGCUAAUACCGGAUAAUAUUUUGAACCGCAUGGUUCAAAAGUGAAAGACGGUCUUGCUGUCACUUAUAGAUGGAUCCGCGCUGCAUUAGCUAGUUGGUAAGGUAACGGCUUACCAAGGCAACGAUGCAUAGCCGACCUGAGAGGGUGAUCGGCCACACUGGAACUGAGACACGGUCCAGACUCCUACGGGAGGCAGCAGUAGGGAAUCUUCCGCAAUGGGCGAAAGCCUGACGGAGCAACGCCGCGUGAGUGAUGAAGGUCUUCUGAUCGUAAAACUCUGUUAUUAGGGAAGAACAUAUGUGUAAGUACCUGUGCACAUCUUGACGGUACCUAAUCAGAAAGCCACGGCUAACUACGUG
rnacentral:rRNA from 1 species